AAAAACUGCUUUCUUGGUAGUUUAUGGAGGUUACACACUCUCUCUCCAAAAAUAAGGAAGUUACGAACGGUUUCAGGGUUGAUAUCUCCCACGUCCCCUCCCCACGUUUCUUGUAACUUCCAUAUACCCUUCCUUUUAAUAGGGAUCCCAGACCUGUGUUUUUGCCCCAUUCCCCUCCAUCCCUAUCUAUCAAAAUCCAUUAUGCUUUGAAAAGUAAAAGUGAAGCAUCAUUUCGUCGCAAGACCGAUUCCAAACAUCUCUGUCAUCGCAACAUCAAAGUUGUCGAUUUAGAGCACCGGUUCCUCGAAUCUCUCAAUUGCACUCCGAUAAUUGAAGCACCCAGUGUAAUCGCUCAUGAAAUCAAGGUAUGUUGUAUGUUAAUUGUUGUAAAGCAUUUGUGAAUUUGAUCUUCUUUGUGUGUGUUGUAGAAGUUUUGCUCUGCAUCUUCUUCACCUUCCAUUAGGUUCACCCAGCUCCGUGAAAGGGCUUUUAAAAGAGCGAAAACUAUAAAUGCUUGUGGACCCUGAUCUAGAGACGAAUUACAUCGAUUCAGAAGUUGCGCAGCUGAUCCAGGUGGCAUUGCUGUGCACCCAAGGCUCACCAAUGGACCGACCCAAAAUGUCUGAUGUGGUCAGAAUGCUGGAAGGUGACGGGUUGGCCGAAAGAUGGGACGAGUGGCAGAAAGUGGAGGUUACUCGACAGGAAAUCGAUCUUGCACCACAUCCUAAUUCUGAUUGGAUUCUUGAUUCGAUUGAGAAUUUGCAUGCUAUUGUGUAGUCGGGGCCGAGGUUGAUUGAAUAUUCUUUGUGAUUUUGUUGUUUCAUGAGCUUUUGUGCCACUUAUCUACAUCACUGCAUGAAACUAUCACAAAUAGAAUGACACCAAUAGAAGAAAUGGUAGGCAUGGAUGUUCUUUGCAGUGACAAAACUGGAACUUCGACACUGAACAAGCUUUUUGUUGACAAAGAUCUUAUAAAGGUUACUUGAUCAUUUGAACACUGGGCAUGAUAUGAUCAGACAUGAAUCGUGGUUAAGAUUGAAGAAAUUAUGAUUCUGUUGUACAUAGUGGAUAUGAUUUUGUUUUUUGCUGCGUGAUUUUUUGAGAUUGGAAGCUUGGUGUUGAACACGCAGUGAAGUAACAAAAGGGAAUUAUGUUCGGUUCUAGCAACCAGAUAAUGUUGUGGGCAAAAUGAUUUCAUCGUAUCUUUCCAACCAAUCGCAGUUUGAUGAUCACACAAUCCAUCUUCUUUUUAGUGCAAAUCGUUGGGAGAAAAGACAUGUUAUUUGCAGAUCAUUGAUUCUGUUGGGGUAUUUUGGGUAUACCAUGAGGUUGCUGUUAAGGUUAUCCCCAAAUCCAAGAAAAUACCCUCCAUCAACAGUUAAAUGUUUGUACAGAAAGAAAACUCACUUGAUGUACGAUUCGAUAACUAACUUAUCGAUCCCCGCGACAUCAAACUCAAAUGACUUUGGGAAGAAGAAGACUGAACGUCUUUAUCUUAUUUCUUGCUUAUUUUUCAGAUAUAAAGAAAUGUCUUAGUGUAUUCUUCUCCGAGAAUGUUUGUUAUUGUUUUCCCUUUUGUUGUUAUUCCUAUUUUGACCUAGAUGUGUGCAUCUUUGUGGGGUUUGGUUAACUUAUGAAUAGGACAGAACUGGGGUUAGGUGA